GGCUAUAGCUCAGUGGUAGAGCACUUGCUUAGCACGUGUGAGACACUGGGUUUGAUCCUCAGUACCA
rnacentral:tRNA from 1 species